UACGUAGGGGGCUAGCGUUGUCCGGAAUCAUUGGGCGUAAAGCGUGUGUAGGCGGUCCGGUAAGUCCGCUGUGAAAGUCGGGGGCUCAACCCUCGGAUGCCGGUGGAUACUGUCGGACUAGAGUACGGAAGAGGCGAGUGGAAUUCCUGGUGUAGCGGUGAAAUGCGCAGAUAUCAGGAGGAACACCAAUUGCGAAGGCAGCUCGCUGGGACGUUACUGACGCUGAGACGCGAAAGCGUGGGGAGCAAACAGG
rnacentral:rRNA from 1 species